rnacentral:rRNA from 1 species
UGGCGCACGGGUGAGUAACACGUGAAUAAUCUACCUCCGAGUGGGGAAUAACUGAGAGAAAUCUUAGCUAAUACCGCAUAAUACCCACGGGUCAAAGCAGCAAUGCGCUUGGAGAGGAGUUCGCGGCAGAUUAGUUAGUUGGCGGGGUAAUGGCCCACCAAGACGAUGAUCUGUAUCCGGCCUGAGAGGGCGCACGGACACACUGGAACUGAAACACGGUCCAG